rnacentral:misc_RNA from 1 species
AUCGAAUGAUGCAUGAACGAUCAUGAUGGAAUUAGAGAAAGCACAAACACUAAAAGUAACAAAUAAAAAUGCGGCCAUCGAUAUUUUAUACAAUAUAGUGAAGAGAAAUGUUGAUACAAACAGCGAAAAUGAUAUCAAGACUAAAGAACAGGCCAUUCUUGAUCUCGGAGAGCUCCUGGCAGCAACAGGACAAGCUGAAGAACUGGCAGGCUUGAUUAAGUUCACCCGCCCAUUCCUUGGAUCUGUCAGCAAAGCAAAGGCAGCCAAGCUAGUGAGAGGCCUGGUAGACAUGUUCUUGGACAUGGAAGCCUCAACUGGGAAAGAGGUUCAGCUUUGUCAGGAAUGUAUUAAUUGGGCAAAAGAUGAGAAAAGAACAUUUCUAAGACAGGCUUUGGAGGCGAGACUUGUAGCACUGUACCAUGGAACACUGCAGUAUACAGAGGGCCUACAAUUAGCAUCAUCACUGUUGAGAGAACUAAAGAAACUAGACGAUAAAGCUUUGUUGGUGGAAGUUCAGUUACUCGAAAGUCGAAUCUACCACUCGCUGUCUAAUCUACCUAAAGCCAGGGCGGCAUUAACUUCAGGUAGAACUACAGCUAAUGGAAUUUAUUGUCCCCCUAAAUUACAGGCAGCAUUAGACAUGCAAUCAGGCAUCCUACAUGCUGCUGACGAGAGAGAUUUCAAGACAGCCUACUCCUAUUUCUAUGAGGCUUUCGAGGGCUAUGACUCGAUAGACAGUCCAAAGGCUUUGACAGGCCUCAAAUACAUGCUAAUGUGCAAAAUCAUGCUAAACCUGUCAGUUUCUUUUAUUCAUGUAUUUGAUUUUUUUUUACUUUACAUGUAAUUUAAUUCUACUUGAACUUUAAAUUUCAUUUGAGCUGCAAUUUAUGCAGUGCUUCCUUUCUCAUUUAAAUUUCCGAGUGUUAUGAUAUAUGACCAUGAUUUGAUACAUGACCCUAUGACCUUUACACCUGAUUUUACAGGGCAGAUGAGGUACAGACCAUUCUGAGUGGUAAACUAGCCCUGAAGUACCAGGGCCCAGAAGUAGAGGCCAUGAAAAGCAUAGCACAGGCCAGUCACAAACGAUCUCUGGCUGAAUUUCAAAAGGUCUGAUACUUAUGCCACAUCUGUCUUUGUAGUAAAUAUGUCAAAUAUAUGUUUUACAAGUUAUUCACAUUUGAAUCCAUAUUGGUUUGUAGUAUUUUAUUUUUUAAUUAAAAAUUACAUAUGUCUAUUACAUGUACCUACUUGCUUAUAGGUUUAUUUACCAUAGCUGUUGUUAUCCCAUCUUGCAUUCCCCUUUUCUUAUACAUACAGGAAAAUUUUAAAUGAUAACUUAAGCGGCAUUCUUUGGAACAUUGUAACUACUUGAAACGGCUCCAAUGUUUCCAUUGUUUCAUUAUUUAGAUAUUUUAUUUUUUAUAUUAAGUCCAGUGUAUAUAUAAAACAAAAUAUUAUACCUUACUGCUAGAAAAAAAGAUUCCAGAGUCUUGUGAUAAAACCAUAACAAGAAGAAGAAUGUCAGAAUCAGCAUAACUUCCCUUUAUUGUGCAUGUUUUACAUGAACAUGAACAUAUGUAUCCUGUGUAAUCAUAUUAGAUAACAGUAGUUUAUAUUGUUUAUUACAGACACUGGUACAAUACAAGACACAGCUAGCAGAUGACCCCAUUGUUAACGCCCACUUGAAAACUUUGUAUGACAACCUACUAGAACAGAACCUCUGUAGAAUCAUAGAGCCCUUCUCCAGAGUUCAGGUCCAGCAUGUUGCCAACUUGAUCAAACUGCCCAUUGACACAGUAGAGAAGAAAUUAUCACAGAUGAUAUUGGACAAAAAAUUUCAUGGUAUCCUUGACCAAGGGGCCGGCGUGCUGGUCGUGUUUGACGAGACACCUGUAGACAAGACCUACGGAAACUCCCUGGAGACCAUACAGAACAUGGGCAAGGUGGUAGAUGCAUUGUACCACAAAGCCAAGAAACUCACAUAGUGCUGGAUACCAAUCAACACCGCCACGCCAGACUGGUCCAAUAUCAUGAUAUGAAAUGACCAAAGUCAAGACAAUGCUUCUCAUCAUAUUGAAUUUUCAGUCAUAACAUCUUAAAAUUCUGAGACUUAUUAUGUUAACUUAAAAGUAAAAGUGAUUUAUUAGACAGGGAAGUUGUAAGUUGUAGAUUAACGAACAUCAUUUACUUUUUUCACCAUGUUUAUAUGGAAUAAAGCUUAAAAAUAUU